AUCACUUCUCGGCCUUUUGGCCAAGAUCAAGUAUA
rnacentral:snRNA from 1 species